rnacentral:rRNA from 1 species
UACGGAGGGGGCUAGCGUUAUUCGGAUUCACUGGGCGUAAAGGGUGCGCAGGCGGCCGUGUGUGUGAGGCGUGAAAGCCCGGGGCUUAACCCCGGAAUUGCACCUCAAACUACACGGCUAGAGCAUUGGAGAGGGUAGCAGAAUUCACGGUGUAGCAGUGAAAUGCGUAGAUAUCGUGAGGAAUACCAGAGGCGAAGGCGGCUACCUGGACAAUUGCUGACGCUCAGGCACGAAAGCGUGGGGAGCAAAAGGG